rnacentral:rRNA from 1 species
GACGAACGCUGGCGGCGUGCUUAACACAUGCAAGUCGAACGAAGUGGCGAACGGGUGAGUAAUGCGUAAUCAACCUGCCCUUCAGAGGGGGACAACAGUUGGAAACGACUGCUAAUACCGCAUACUGAAGGAGGGGAUUGUGUCUGAUUAGCUAGUUGGAGGGGUAACGGCCCACCAAGGCGAAGAUCAGUAGCCGGGCUGAGAGGGUGAACGGCCACAUUGGGACUGAGACACGGCCCAGACUCCUACGGGAGGCAGCAGGGGGGAAACAUCCGCAAUGGGCGGAAGUCUGGCGGAGCAACGCCGCGUGAGUGAUGGCGGCCUUCGGGUUGUAAAGCUCUGUUAAUCGGGACGCGGUACCGGAAUAGAAAGCCACGGCUAACUACGUGCCAGCAGCCGCGGUAAUUC